UACGGAGGGUGCAAGCGCUAUCCGGAUUCACUGGGUUUAAAGGGUGCGUAGGCGGGCAGGUAAGUCCGUGGUGAAAUCUCUGAGCUUAACUCAGAAACUGCCAUGGAUACUAUUUGUCUUGAAUAUUGUGGAGGUAAGCGGAAUAUGUCAUGUAGCGGUGAAAUGCUUAGAUAUGACAUAGAACACCAAUUGCGAAGGCAGCUUACUACACAGUUAUUGACGCUGAGGCACGAAAGCGUGGGGAUCAAACAGG
rnacentral:rRNA from 1 species